UGGCAAUGAGGAUACAUUUUUUUUAAAUGAUUAAACAGUGAUUGUUUUAUACGCUAUUCUGAGCCGACU